rnacentral:rRNA from 1 species
CUGGCGGCGUGCCUAACACAUGCAAGUCGCACGAGAAAGUGGAGCAAUCCAUGAGUAAAGUGGCGCACGGGUGAGUAACACGUGAAUGAUCUACCUCCGAGUGGGGAAUAACCUAGAGAAAUCUGGGCUAAUACCGCAUAACACUUACGAGUCAAAGCAGCAAUGCGCUUGGAGAGGAGUUCGCGGCCGAUUAGUUAGUUGGCGGGGUAAUGGCCCACCAAGACGAUGAUCGGUAUCCGGCCUGAGAGGGCGCACGGACACACUGGAACUGAAACACGGUCCAGACUCCUACGGGAGGCAGCAGUGGGGAAUUUUGCGCAAUGGGGGAAACCCUGACGCAGCAACGCCGCGUGGAGGAUGAAAUCCCUUGGGAUGUAAACUCCUUUCGAUCGGGACGAUUAUGACGGUACCGGAAGAAGAAGCCCCGGCUAACUUCGUGCCAGCAGCCGCGGUAAUACGAGGGGGGCAAGCGUUGUUCGGAAUUAUUGGGCGUAAAGGGCGCGUANGCGGUUUGACAAGUCUGAUGUGAAAUCUCUGGGCUCAACUCA